rnacentral:rRNA from 1 species
GAUGAACGCUGGCGGCGUGCCUAAUACAUGCAAGUCGAGCGAACAGAUAAGGAGCUUGCUCCUUUGACGUUAGCGGCGGACGGGUGAGUAACACGUGGGUAACCUACCUAUAAGACUGGAAUAACUCCGGGAAACCGGGGCUAAUGCAGGAUAACAUGUUGAACCGCAUGGUUCUACAGUGAAAGGCGGCUUUGCUGUCACUUAUAGAUGGACCCGCGCCGUAUUAGCUAGUUGGUGAGGUAACGGCUCACCAAGGCAACGAUACGUAGCCGACCUGAGAGGGUGAUCGGCCACACUGGAACUGAGAAACGGUCCAGACUCCUACGGGAGGCAGCAGUAGGGAAUCUUCCGCAAUGGGCGAAAGCCUGACGGAGCAACGCCGCGUGAGUGAUGAAGGUCUUCGGAUCGUAAAACUCUGUUAUUAGGGAAGAACAAAUGCGUAAGUAACUGUGCGCGUCUUGACGGUACCUAAUCAGAAAGCCACGGCUAACUACGUG